AGUUGAUUGUCUCUAUCAUUAACAUCAUUUUCUGCUGCUGUGAUUGAAAUGCUGUCAAAGAUUUAUUUUCAACAAUGUCUUCAUGAAGAAUGGAAUAAACUAUUUUAAAAUAAAUCAUUCUACUUACAGGUCCACAGUGGAGCAGGUACCCAUUCUGAAGCCCACAGAGGAUCCCACACAGAAACAAGUGGAUGCCCAAAAAAGGAUUUGACCUACAGAGGAGCAAGUUUUCUGGCAGGACCUGUGAACCCAUUAGGGACCCAGGCUGGAGAAAGUCAAGAAGUAUUGUAUCCUAUAGGAGGGACCCAACGCUGGAGCAGGGGAAGAGAAUGAGGAAGAAGGAGUAGCAGAGACAACACACUUGUUUUGAACUGACCACAACCUCCAUUCCCCAUGCCUCUGUGCUGCUUGGAGGGGAGGGUGUAUGAGAGGAACACAGAAUCAUUCUCUUUUGGCUAAACUGAAGUAAACCAGAAGGAGUCCUGCUGAAGCUAGCUGGUAGUACAACAUGUCUGCAUGUGAGGAAAGCAACAAAUCUAGGAUUGGCUGCAAAGCAUCUUGUUUAUUUUGCUGGUCUCAGCAGGCUCUUCAUAAGCUGAGCCCAUCAGGAAUGCUCAUGGUGCCUCUGUGAUAACGUAUUUUGGAAAGGGUAAAAAUCACUGUACAGCAGCAAGAUAAACAGCUCUGCAGACACUAAGGUCAGUAAAGGACAAGGGAGAGGCAACGCUCCAGGUACAAAUCAAACAUUUGCCUGCAUCCCAUGGAAGAACCCCCACUGGAGCAGGUGGAUAUGCCCUGGAAAGAGAAGAGACCACACUGCAGCAGGCUACUGGCAUGUGGAGAGGAGCAGGCUUUCUGUCAGGCACUACCACUUGUGGGAACCUACGCUGGAACUGUCUGUUUCUGAAGGACUAUAUCCCCUGGAAAGGAACUCUAGCACAUGGGAAGGAUCCACACAGGAGGAAUUUGUGAAAGACUUCAUCACAUGGGAGGGACUUGACACUGAAACAAGGGAAAAGUGAGAAGGAAGAAGGAGCAGCAGAGACAAAAUGUUAUGAACUAACUGUAACCUCCAUUCCUAAUUCCUCUCCACUGCUUCAGGCAGGGAGGUGAUAGAAGUGGUAGGAAGAAAGAAGUGAAGUUGACCCUGGGAAGAAGGGGAGGGUAGGGGAAAGAUGUUUUUAUUUCUGUCUUUGUUUCUCACCAUCCUACACCAUUUCCACUUGGCAUUAAAUAAAUUUUUCCCCACUCAAGCAUCUUUUGCCUGUGGUGGUAAAUCAGUGUUUUCCUUUGCUUUCUCUCUGAGACUUUUCACCUAUUUUCUCCCCUAUUACUGAUGAGAAGAGGGAGUGAGGAAGUGGCUUAGGGGGCAUCUGACAGCCAACCAAGGGUAACCCAUCACAGUGCUGCAUGUGUGUACUCUUUGGAAAUACCAUAUUUCAACAUUAUACUUGUGAUUUAGCUGAACUUUUCACAUCAAUUUCACUGCUGUGAAAAUCAGAAAAGGAUAUAAUUUGGCAUAUUUAAAAUUAAUU